UUAAAAGACAACCAGUGAGAUAAAAUCAUAGAAAAUGUAUGAUGAUUCAGGAUGUGGUCAUUUGUGACAUUAAAACAGGAAUUGUCAUCACCAAUAGACGAAUUUCACAUUCCUAAGAGUUUUCUCCAAUUGUUGGCGUAUCGCUCAUUUUUCCCACUUUGUCCUUUGUCCUGUUCUGUGGAUGCCCUAAGACAGUGUCUACCCAUCACUCCAUCUGAUAUCACUUGUUCUGAGCAUAUUUCUCUCUCAAACUUAAACUACAGAGAGCCUGUGGAUAGUGGAUGAAGAGUGACCUUAGACCAAUUUUCUAGGUCAAAGAUCAAAGGUGAUGUGAAGAAAACCAGGAAACUGAUGUUGAAAGAAGUACUUAAUGACCCUUAUGAAUGGACUUAAAUGUGAAAGACUGUUCCAUUGUUUAUCUAAGAUAUAUGAAUUUAUUUAAUAUUUUGAUAUC